CAAAGGAGACUGCCAGUGAUAAACUGGAGGAAGGUGGGGAUGACGUCAAGUCAUCAUGGCCCUUACGACCAGGGCUACACACGUGCUACAAUGGCGCAUACAAAGAGAAGCGACCUCGCGAGAGCAAGCGGACCUCAUAAAGUGCGUCGUAGUCCGGAUUGGAGUCUGCAACUCGACUCCAUGAAGUCGGAAUCGCUAGUAAUCGUGGAUCAGAAUGCCACGGUGAAUACGUUCCCGGGCCUUGUACACACCGCCCGUCACACCAUGGGAGUGGGUUGCAAAAGAAGUAGGUAGCUUAACCUUCGGGAGGGCGCUUACCACUUUGUGAUUCAUGACUGGGGUGAAGUCGUAACAAGGUAACCGUAGGGGAACCUGCGGUUGGAUCACCUCCUUACCUUAAAGAAGC
rnacentral:rRNA from 2 species